rnacentral:lncRNA from 1 species
UCAGAAGGAGGGAGAGGCACACCUGGGAAAAUAGGUUAUCAGACCUCUAAGCACACAGAUGAAAUACUGUCCUUUCUAGCAGACACCGUGGUGUUGCACUGAAGCAGUUCACUUACUCAGCACUAAAACUAUACGACCAGAUUCAUUUUGAGGAGUCAUGAUGUGGUUCCCUCUGUGUGUCUGCAUUUUUAUUGCCUUUAGCUAAGUAGCAGCAGUAGCCCUCAGAGCAACAGUAAAUGCCUGGCCUGCAGCCAUGUGUUACUACUUCUCUUCUGGGCCUUCUGAUCAUACUGUAAUCAGAUGAGGGACGAGGUCUUUGACCUCACCAUGUCAAAGAGUGUUAAUGAUGUGUUCCCUCUCCGUUGCAUUCCCCACCUGUCAUCC